rnacentral:rRNA from 1 species
CUGGCUCAGGAUUAACGCUGGCGGCGUGCCUAAUACAUGCAAGUCGAAUGGUAGUAGCAAUACAAACCAUGGCGAACGGGUGAGUAACACGUAGGUAACCUGUCUUUAAGACGAGGAUAACCAUUGGAAACGAUGGAUAAUACUGGAUAGGACAUCAUAAAGGGCAUCCUUAGAUGUUUAAAGAUUAUAAUGUCACUUAGAGAGGGGCCUGCGGCGCAUUAGCUAGUUGGUGAGGUAAGAGCCCACCAAGGCGAUGAUGCGUAGCCGGACUGAGAGGUUGAACGGCCACAAUGGAACUGAGAACGGUCCAUACUCCUACGGGAGGCAGCAGUAGGGAAUUUUCGGCAAUGGGCGCAAGCCUGACCGAGCAACGCCGCGUGAACGAAGAAGUUAUUCGUAAUGUAAAGUUCUUUUAUCUGGGAAGAAAAAACAAAUUGACGGUACCAGAUGAAUAAGCUCCGGCUAACUACGUGCCAGCCGCAGC